ACCUUACCUACCUUUGACAUGUACGGAACCCUGCUGAGAAGUGGGGGUGCUCGAAAGAGAACCGUAACACAGGUGCUGCAUGCCUGUCGUCAGCUCGUGUCGUGAGAUGUUGGGUUAAGUCCCGCAACGAGCGCAACCCUUGUCAUUAGUUGCCACGAAAGGGCACUCUAAUGAGACUGCCGGUGACAAACCGGAGGAAGGUGGGGAUGACGUCAAGUCCUCAUGGCCCUUAUGGGUAGGGCUUCACACGUCAUACAAUGGUACAUACAGAGGGCCGCCAACCCGCGAGGGGGAGCUAAUCCCAGAAAGUGUAUCGUAGUCCGGAUUGUAGUCUGCAACUCGACUACAUGAAGUUGGAAUCGCUAGUAAUCGCGGAUCAGCAUGUCGCGGUGAAUACGUUCCCGGGUCUUGUACACACCGCCCGUCACACCAUGGGAGCGGGUUUUACCAGAAGUAGUUAGC
rnacentral:rRNA from 1 species